CGAAAGACUAAUCGAACCAUCGAGUAGCUGGUUCCCUCCGAAGUUUCCUCAGGAUAGCUGGAACUUAAAUAAAAUAGUUUUAUCAGGUAAAGCGAAUGAUUAGAAGCUCUGGGGAUGAAACAUCCUCGACUUAUUCUCAAACUUUUAAAUAGGUAAGAUGACUGCAGUACUUAAUUGACUGUCAGUCUCUUGAAUAGAAAGUUCUUAGUGGGCCAUUUUUGGUAAGCAGAACUGGCGAUGUGGGAUGAACCAAACGUGAAGUUAAAAGUGCCUAAACAUACGUUCAUCAGAUACCACAAAAGGUGUUGAUUCAUCUUGACAGUUGGACAGUGGCCAUGGAAGUCGGAAUCUGCUAAGGAGUGUGUAACAACUCACCAACCGAAUGAAUUAGCCCUGAAAAUGGAUGGCGCUUAAACGUAUUACUUAUACUUCACCAUUAGGAUAAAUGCUAAAUUCUAAUGAGUAGGAGGGCGUAUGGAUAAUUUAGAAGACUAACAGUGAUGUUGGUUGGAAUUAUCUUUAGUGCAGA
rnacentral:rRNA from 1 species